rnacentral:rRNA from 1 species
AGUGAACGCUGGCGGUAGGCCUAACACAUGCAAGUCGAACGGCAGCACAGUAAGAGCUUGCUCUUACGGGUGGCGAGUGGCGGACGGGUGAGGAAUACAUCGGAAUCUACUUUUUCGUGGGGGAUAACGUAGGGAAACUUACGCUAAUACCGCAUACGACCUACGGGUGAAAGCAGGGGAUCUUCGGACCUUGCGCGAUUGAAUGAGCCGAUGUCGGAUUAGCUAGUUGGCGGGGUAAAGGCCCACCAAGGCAACGAUCCGUAGCUGGACUGAGAGGAUGAUCAGCCACACUGGAACUGAGACACGGUCCAGACUCCUACGGGAGGCAGCAGUGGGGAAUAUUGGACAAAGGGCGCAAGCCUGAUCCAGCCAUACCGCGUGGGUGAAGAAGGCCUUCGGGUUGUAAAGCCCUUUUGUUGGGGAAGAAAAGCAGCAGGUUAAUACCCCGCUGUUCUGACGGUACCCAAAGAAUAAGCACCGGCUAACUUCGUG